GAGUUUGAUCAUGGCUCAGAUUGAACGCUGGCGGCAUGCUUUACACAUGCAAGUCGAACGGCAGCACAGGGAGCUUGCUCCUGGGUGGCGAGUGGCGAACGGGUGAGUAAUGUAUCGGAACGUGCCUGGUAGUGGGGGAUAACUACUCGAAAGAGUGGCUAAUACCGCAUGAGAUCUUUGGAUGAAAGCGGGGGACCUUCGGGCCUCGUGCUACUGGAGCGGCCGAUAUCAGAUUAGGUUGUUGGUGGGGUAAAGGCCUACCAAGCCUGCGAUCUGUAGCUGGUCUGAGAGGACGACCAGCCACACUGGGACUGAGACACGGCCCAGACUCCUACGGGAGGCAGCAGUGGGGAAUUUUGGACAAUGGGCGCAAGCCUGAUCCAGCAAUGCCGCGUGCAGGACGAAGGCCUUCGGGUUGUAAACUGCUUUUGUACAGAACGAAAAGUCUCUGGCUAAUAUCUAGAGAUCA
rnacentral:rRNA from 1 species